GCUGUGCACAGACGACUGACAAGCCAGGAAGUGCCGUGGGGAAGCUGCUGGCUCUGCAGGAAGAACCAAUGUAGGGUUCAGGGAGGAGGUAUCUUGGGGGUUUUGGGGGUGAAAGGGCUCGAGGAUCCUGGGAAUCAGAGACCAAACUAGACCUCAGUACCACCGCAGAACAGGCAGCACCUCCCAGAAUGGUCUUUGAACCGAACUGAUUUCUUCUCGGCUUCAAGUGAAUCUGGAACCUAGACGCCACAACGGGUUCUUGGUCUCCGUACCUUUCCGGUCCCAGCGAACUUCCCAGCCCUCAAAGGGGGCGUGUUUUGUGUCUGUUUUGGAGUGGAGCAUUUGGCCUGAUUGUAGUAAAUACCCCGCCCGCUGCACCAACCUUUCCUGAAAGCCACCCUUGAUCAGAAUGUUGCCAUCCCAAUUCAACGAUUUUUAAAACUUCAUAUUGUUCACACAAAAUCCUAAGAACUUGGUCAACAAGGUCCACCACCAGGACGCCUUGAAAGUACCAGCAGAAUUGGAAAAGAGUCAAAGAAAAGCCUUUCAAGGCCAAAGAAAUGAACCUACAUGCAUUAAAACCCUGGACCAGGGAAUGAAGAAGCCAAAGUUGCCCCAACUAAGUCAAGAAAGAGGUCAGGCCUGGGAAGCUAGAAGUCCAUGACUCAAGUUCCAGCUCCUAACACUAUAAGGCAAUCUUAGAUAGUACUAAUUAGUACAGACUGCUAGAAAUACCAAUAAUCUGGAUGGAACCUCUAAUGUCACAGAUGAUGAAACUAAGGCCUACUAAGAGAACAGAAUGUGCCUACAAUCCCACAGGAAAUCUUGGGAUAGAGCAGAAAGAACCCAAAUAAUUCACUUCAAGUCCAGUAUUUUUUAUUUCAUGAAAACAGACUUGUGGAAUAAAGUAGAAUAUCCAGAAACAGACUAGUACACAGAGGUAGCAUCUCAAACCCCUGAACCAAAGAUGGACAUUUUAAGAGAUAGUGUUGUGACAGUUGGGUAGCAAUUUGUGAAAAGCUAAAAUUAGGUUAAUAUCACAAAUAAUAUACAAGAAUAAAUUCCAAAUGGAUUACCAAAAUAAAUGUUAAAAACCCCAAAUUAGAUAUGUUCCAGAAGAAAAUAGGAGGUAAUUCCACCUUUAGCUUUGGUAUAAGACAUUCUAUGACUCAUCCAGGGACAAAGAGAGAAAAGAUCAAUAUAUUUCCUCAUUUAUGAAAAAACAGCAAUACAACUCCUGCAAAAAUAAUACCAAAACAACUCAAACUAUAAAUUCAACUUGAAAAAAUUCAGCACAAUUAUGUCAUACAGAUAGACAAAGCAUACUGAAAAGUGGGCAAAAGUCAAUUAACAAGAAGAUGUAAAAGUCUCCUUUAAACAUGAAAAUGUUCAACCUCACAAACACUAAUAAAAUUCAAAGUAAAACUCCUGUGAGGAGAAUGAAAACCUAUCUGAGAGCUGGGAGAUGGGGAUGGGACAGGGAGAGGAUACUGGAGAGAGGGUGGAACAGGCAGAAAAAAAAAUUAAAAACCAGAGAAGGGAAGAAGAGCAACAUAAUUUUAAAAAGAGGGUGAGGCCAAAAGACAUUGAGCAGGGCUGGAACUCUGGGACAUGGGGUUUAUACAGACAGCAAGAAGAAAGGGAGACAGGAAAAUUGGAGGAGAGGCACACCCUCCACUCUGAACACACUCAGAAACCUGCUCAGGGAGGGAAACAUGGCUGGAGGUAUAGGAAUUGCAGCAGGACUGGAGUAGUAAAAACAAAUGCACAGAGACGGAGAACUGAGGAGCAGGACGCAGGUGGAUUGGAGAGCAACAGAACUGCAGACCUGGGGAGAGCAGGGUAGGGAGGACAUUGGAAGAGUGAGAAAAGUGGCCAGAGCUAGAGGACUGGGGAGAGAGGAGGAGUUCCAGGACUGGGGAGAUGAAAGAGGUUGCAGGAGUAGAGACAAGGGAAGAGGAAAAGGACUGCAGAGAGGACUGGACUGGUGUAAAGGUACUGGGGGAAGUAAGGAAAGCGGGUGGGGCUUGAGACUAGAAAAAGGGGUGUUUGCAGAGGGCCUGAAAGAAGAGAGGGUUUGGAGGACUGGAAGGGGUAGGACUAGAGGAUCUGGGAGAGGAAGAAUCUGGAGGACUGGACAUGGAGUGGGACUACAGAACUGGGGAAAAGGGAGGCGGUACAAGGCUGGGAAGAUGCAAGAGGAGAGAAGAAAUUGAACAGGGAAGUAGGACUAAAGAGGAGGAGGAGCCGAAGAGUGGAGUGGGUCGGUGGUAGAGGGCAGUGGAAGCUUCCAUAUAGUAGUAGCGAAACCUAAGAAUAUGAAAUUAAAUAGUACCAUUAUAUUAGAAUUAAGUAGUUAGAUAAUGAAAUAUGCUAGUUACCAUUAAAAACUCCAAAUGAACGGAGAGAAUUUAAAUAAAUGGAGAUUUAUACCAUGCUCAUGAUUUGGAAGCACCGAUAUUACUAAAGUUUCUAUAUGUUUAUUUUCUCCAAAUUUAACUAUAUAUUGGGUGUAGUCCCAAUCAGCAUUCUCAGGUGCCUUAAAAAAGAAAGAAAGAAAGAAAGAAAGAAAGAAAGAAAGAAAGAAAGAAAGAAAGAAAGAAAUUAAUUGAUCAGUUGAUUGUAAUAUUUUCAUGGGAUUUUCAAAGAGAAUCAAAAUACCUGACACAACCUUGGAAAAUGUGAAUGAACAUGGAAGGCUAAUACUACCUGAUUUUGUGACCUGCAGAAAACUGUUGUAAUCAAGAUAGUGUGUUGUUGGUCUAAGGAUAGAAAUAUGACUCAAUAGAACCAAACAAAGUGAAAAAUAGAGCCAUAAAUUUGUUGUCAAUUGAUUUUUGAGAAAUCUACCAAGGCAACUCAAGGGGAAAAGAAUUGUCUUUUCACAAAUGUUGCAGGAACAAUUGCAUAACUAUCUGAAAAAGUAAAUCUCUACCCUUAUUUGUCACCAAAUAUAAAAAUAUAUUUUAGAUGGAUAAUAGAUCUAAAUAUAAAAACUACAACUACAGACCUUCUCAAAGAAAACAGGAGGAUAUCUUCAUGACAUUGGGAGAAUCAAAUAUUUCUGAUGACACAAAAGGCACUAAUCAUAAAAGAAAAACUUCAUAAAUUAGAUUUCAAGAGUGGGAAACACCUGCUCACCAAAUGAUACCAUUAAGAAUGUGAACAGGCAAAAAAAAAAUGUAAACAGGCAAGUGACAGACUGGGACAGAUUAUUUGUAGAAUAUAUAUCUAACAUAGAAUUUAUAUUCAGAAUAUAUAAAUAACUAAAAAUAAAUAAUUAAAAACAAAGCAAACAUUCAAAUGAACAAAAUAGUUGACAUUUCACCAAAAAAAGAUUGGAAUGACCAAUAAGUACGUAAAAAGUUGCUUAGUCAUCAGAGAGGUAUAAAUUAAACCACAAUAUUAUGUUACCACACACCCAAUAAAACAGGCAAGAUUAAAAUAUUGAUAGCAGUAAUUGUUCACCAGAAUUUGGAAUGCCUGGAAUUCUCAUAUUGCCAGUAGUGUAAAGUGGAACAGAUGGUUUUGGAAAACUUUUGGCAGUUUCAAUUUUAGACAAACACCUACUCUAUGCCCAAGCCGUUCUACUCCUAGGUAUUUACCUAAGAGAUGUAUUCACAUUUGUCCACAAAAAGAUUUGUACCAGCAUACUUACAGAACUUGUAUGUAUACAUCAAUUUAAAAUCUGGUUUAAAAACAAUGAGUAACAAUAAAUAUAUUUUCAGAUAAACAAAAACUGAGUUUAUCACAAGCAUAACUAUACUAAUGAAGUUCUAAACGUUGUACUUCAGGAAGAGGGAAAUGAUUCCAGUGCAAGAAGAGAAUUUGUGAACGUGUGGCUUGAUCUAAGCAAAAAGUGUUUCCGUAAAUCGUAAUCCCUUCUUUUUAAGUAGCUCUGUGCCCAGUGUGGGGCUCGAACUCACAACCCUGAGAUCAAGAAUUGCAUGUUCUAUGGACUGAGCCAGCCAAUCUAAUACUUUUAUUGGGGGCGGGGGAGUGCUAACAAAAUGGAGCAGGGUUAAAAUACAGGACCACCAAAACUCCUUAAGUUGGGAGGGAAUGUCCUUGUAGCUCUAAAGUGUUCUAAGGUCCUUGUGUUAUUUGGGAGGGGAGAUUAGAUGGUUUUUUGAUAAUUUUCCAGUGUAACAUUUCAAGGAUAACUAUUAAAACAAGAGAAGUAGGAUGUAUUACCUCUAAAACAUUGAACUGAAGAAUCUCAAAAAAAAACUGAAUAUGUUCAAAUGAAUGUUUAUUUUAAUUGGAAGCUGUGGAUGAUUCAGUUCAGGCUGUAGAGAGAUCACUUUUGUUCACCUCUGAAUCUGAACACUUUCGCUUUGGUACUUCUACAUGGAUUGUGUCUGCAUGAAAGAAAGAUGGAUGUGUAAAUCUUUUGUCAUUUCUACUAUUUUUCUUUGUGGUCAUAAAAUAAAUUACAAAUAUUUUUUACAUAAAA